CCUCUUUCGCUCCAGAAAUCCCAUGCACAGUGAGCUUCAAAUUGAGGGGGUCUCAGGAAUGGUGAUGAACCACCUCACUAAAUUUUCCAUAUUGGAAAACCUGCUGUAGUUGCUAAGGGAGCUUAUCUGAACCAUGUGCCAGUAUCACAAGACUGUUUGGACUUUUUUUUUUUUGUUUGUGUGUUCUUUUUUUUUUAUUUGUACAGUGUAUGUGAUAUGAACAAUUUAAGGUCAACAAACCCCUGUUGAGUGCAGUGGAAUAACAAAGCUGAAUUUCCCAUUGAGCAGGCACACUGGAACGAGGAGGUGGAAGGAAUAGAAAACAUAGCAGAAAAAUCACAAAAGGAUGGCUUCACAGUAAUCAGUGGUAACGGCUACAGUGCAGCAUAAAUGCCACCAAAUAGUUUGUGGAGCAAGCUGACAUUUUAAGAGUUUGAGAAUGUAUGAGGAAAAAUGCAUCACCUUUCACCAGCUGAAGGAGUAUGUAGCUCCACUUCUGAAGCAUUACCCUUUUGACCUUGAAACUGCUGUAAAACUCCCCUGAGGAUAAACAAGACUGAAGAAAAGAAUCAGCCAUGGCAUACUUUGGGAGAAUGCCUUUCUCACGAGAUGAAGUUCAUGAAGGGCAGGCUGAGGGCCAAGCAGCUUAUUCAAUGUACCAUUCUGAUUCUGCUGGACAGGUCAGUCUAGGAUUUGAUCAAAUAGCUGAUGAAGUCAGGAAUGAAUUUUUUUUUUAUGGUUCAUCACAUAUGCAUCAGCCUGAAGAAAAUUUUUUCGUGUCAGACAUCUUUGGUUUGAAUGUGCCAGAGAAGCAGUUAUGUGGUCAACCUCCAGUCACUUGUGGUGAACUUUACCUUAGACAUCCUUCAUCUCACUGGUACCAAGGCGCUGCGUCACCCGGGAUUGGCUUCAGAUCUUCCUUACUGUCUGAUUACAGAAAUUUCUCUGUGGUGGAUUCCUACCCAUAUAGUGAAGAAAGAGAAAACUACAGAAGGAAUAGCGUAAUUCCAGUCGCAAACAUAUUUGAUUCAAAUGUGAAGAGAGGCAACAAAAAUCUGAAUUUUCGGGUAGGCUUUGACAAUGUAGAUGCUCAAUAUCCCAUCGUUUUAGACAACUAUCCAUUCGGACAAGGAGUAAGAGACGAAAGUGGAAAUGGAGAAGCUCUUUCAACCAACACUUCAGGAAGAUUCAGCGUAGGACCUACCUGGCCCAGUGGCUCUGGACAGGACAGAGAGGCUGCAGGUUGGUCUAUCCAACUGGUUGAAGCGAAGCAAGGGAGUAAUGAAAACGCAGUUGCUUUUUGCAAUGCAGUGGGGAAAAUAAGAAAUGCCUAUCCUGCUUCUGACUUAAAGACAAAUACUGGGAAAAUCUGGAGUAUCACAACAAGGUUCCCAGACCAUAUCCUUGGUAAAUCAAAAUUCAGAAUCAGCGUUUGGACAAAUUCUUCACCAUAUCCACUGCUUCUUACACAAAGUGCUGGCUGUAUCACUCAUGACUUAAUUGUAGAGAUCCUCAGUUGCACAAAUCAAUACCCAGUCCAGGAGGAAUGUUUUCUAAGUGUUUGCGGGUCUGAUGAAUUCUUACAAAACAAUCAUCCUCUGGGUAGCCACGAGAGUCUUCGCAAGUCAGCCACCUGCAUUCAGCUUCAGCUACAUAUCACUGCUAAUUUGAAGCAAAGUUUGGCUCGAACGCAUGAGGAUGACCAAAGACAGUUCAAUCUGAAUCAGCUGUUGGAAUAUACUUGUGCUUGGAGACUGACUCGACAGAACCUUGUCUCAAUUAUUAUGAAAUACAGAGGUCAAGUGGAGUAUCUAUUGCAAAAUGAGCAUGGAGCGGAUAAUGUGAUUGAAGCAGCUAAAGCAAUCUGCAGUGCCCUCUGUUUUGUGGAAACCAGAGCCAUUACUGAUGCAGUCAAGAAACUCCGUGCAGUGCCAUUGGCAAAAGCACAGAAUUCACUUCAAAGUGUGGAAAUGCCAGGCAAAGCAUUAAUAGAGGAUGCUGUGACUGAGCUCUCUAUGGCCAUCUUUUGCCUCAUCCAUGUUUACAGCAGCAGCUUUGAUGCAGGUUUUCAGCUUGCCAGCAUACCUAAAAGUCCCUCAUGCGCAGACAUCAGCCUACAUUCCCAGCUCAGCUUCACUGUUUAUGCUGCCCAUAACAUCCCAGAAGCCUGGGUGAACAGCUACAAAGCUUUUUCUUUUUCCUGUUCACUAAUGUAUGCUGGGAAGACAAUAUGUCAAGUGAAGAUUUGCAAAAGUAUACCAGUUAAAAAAUCCUUCUUUUUCCUUGCAGACUGGAAUGAGACAUAAAAUCCAGAGAAUUCGGAGAAACUGAAGAAGGUUACAGUGGAAAAGGAGUAGGAUGGCCAGAGGAAGAGAAAUGGGACUACACUAAGAAGCUGGUUUCAGAGGAGUGUUCGUUUAUCAGUGCUGGCACUGAGAGGGUACUGAAACUGAAAGGAGAUGCAACUGAAGGCCAUAUUUCAGUUCUCCUGUUAGAACUUCUGCACUUUGGAGCAACAUCUAAUAGGUAUGCAACCCAGCUUGAGACUGCAUACCUAUAUUGUAGUAUAUUUUUAAAGGG
ensembl:lncRNA